rnacentral:rRNA from 1 species
CUGCCAGUAGUCAUAUGCUUGUCUCAAAGAUUAAGCCAUGCAUGUCUCAGUACAAGCCAAAUUAAGGUGAAACCGCGAAAGGCUCAUUAAAUCAGUUAUGGUUCCUUAGAUCGUACCCACAAUUACUUGGAUAACUGUGGUAAUUCUAGAGCUAAUACAUGCAAACAGAGCUCCGACCGGAGACGGAAGGAGUGCUUUUAUUAGAUCAAAACCAAUCGGUGGCGAGUUCACUCGUCAUCGUACAACUUGGUGACUCUGAAUAACUUUACGCUGAUCGCACGGUCUUGCACCGGCGACGCAUCUUUCAAAUGUCUGCCUUAUCAACUGUCGAUGGUAGGUUCUGCGCCUACCAUGGUUGUAACGGGUAACGGGGAAUCAGGGUUCGAUUCCGGAGAGGGAGCCUGAGAAACGGCUACCACAUCCAAGGAAGGCAGCAGGCGCGCAAAUUACCCACUCCCGGCACGGAGAGGUAGUGACGAAAAAUAACGAUACGGGACUCAUCCGAGGCCCCGUAAUCGGAAUGAGUACACUCUAAACCCUUUAACGAGGAUCAAUUGGAGGGCAAGUCUGGUGCCAGCAGCCGCGGUAAUUCCAGCUCCAAUAGCGUAUAUUAAAGU